rnacentral:rRNA from 1 species
AUUGAACGCUGGCGGCAGGCCUAACACAUGCAAGUCGAGCGGAUGAAGGGAGCUUGCUCCUGGAUUCAGCGGCGGACGGGUGAGUAAUGCCUAGGAAUCUGCCUGGUAGUGGGGGAUAACGUCCGGAAACGGGCGCUAAUACCGCAUACGUCCUGAGGGAGAAAGUGGGGGAUCUUCGGACCUCACGCUAUCAGAUGAGCCUAGGUCGGAUUAGCUAGUUGGUGGGGUAAGGGCCUACCAAGGCGAGGAUCCGUAACUGGACGGAGAGGAUGAUCAGUCACAUUGGAAGGGGGACAGGGUCCAGACGCCUACGGGAGGGAGCAGUGGGGAAUAUGGGACAGUGGGCGAAAGCAUGAUCCAGUCGUGCGGCGUGUGUGAAGAAGGUCUUCGGAUUGUAAAGCACUUUAAGUUGGGGUGAAGGGCAGUAAGUUAAUACGUUGCGGUUUUGACGUUACCAACAGAAUAAGCACCGGCUAACUUCGUG